UCCUUUUGUAUUUUUAUUUAAGGUCUAACCUGCCCACUGAUUUAUUUAAUGGCCGCGGUAUUUUGACCGUGCAAAGGUAGCAUAAUAAUUUGUCUUUUAAUUGAAGGCUUGUAUGAAUGGUUGGACGAGAAAAUUACUUUCUUUAUUAUAAAAAAAUUAAUUUUAUUUUUUAGUUAAAAAGCUAAAAUUUUGUUGUAGGACGAGAAGACCCUAUAGAACUUUAUACUCAUUAUUAUAUUAAUAUUUUUGGUUAAUUUUUUAUUAUAUUUUUAUGAAUAUUUUGUUGGGGCGACAAGAAAAUUUAUUUAACUUUUCUUUAUUAAUUUCAUUAAUUAAUGUAUAAAUGAUCCUUUAUUAUGGAUAAUAAGAAUAAGUUACCUUAGGGAUAACAGCGUAAUUUUUUUGGAGAGUUCUUAUCGAUAAAAAAGUUUGCGA
rnacentral:rRNA from 1 species